AGCAGGUACAUGUGUCAAAGGUAGAAAUAAGAAUUCAUCUUUGAUUUAAAUAGAGCUCCGGCAGUUAUCAGACGCCGUCAUCCUGGCAGGAUAGGACAGACGGCAGCCGAUAUGAAAUGAUUGAGUAUCAAGGAAACAGAGUUCACAGACCUGUGCAGAGCAAAACUUCAUACAUUAAACAUAACAGAUCCCUGUAAUGCCCAUCAAUAAAGAAACCGAUCGAUUUCUAAUAUCUACAACUAACUCAUCAACCUUUCAUCGUCCUACGUUACUCCGGAGACUCUUUUAAAGCCUGGAGAAUUUUGUAAUAAAUGUUCAACUUUGGUGUCUGCCGGAUUUAACCUGCUUGGUCGUCAUUAUAACGGUUAAACCUUCCCACAAAACUCAAUGACCCUCCAUUGAAGCCAUGGGUGGUGUUCAGACACGAUGGAGCUCACGGCUGGACUUACGUUAGGCGAUUGCUGCUCUCAUGUGUCUUGUUUGGGAUUGGGCAGCAAAGAGAUCACGUUAUUGGUGACAUGUGUUGGUUAGCACAUUUUAUUGCAGUUAACCAUUUAAUCGUCUAUCGGGGAUUCAGGAUCCUUUGUUUUCCUCACCUGUUCUGGCAUCCUGGCGCACAGCAGGUGUCCAUCGUGUUACAAUAGUAAGAUUAAAUGAAAGCUCCAAACAGCCUGCUUAUAAAUGUUGCUUUGACCGGUGUCAACACCAAUGCUACAGCCGUUCUCCUGAAUUCAGAUUGCAUGACGCAAACCUCCGGAGCUCUAUAGACCAGUGAAUCACGCAUGACCUGAACAGUGUUUGUGUGUUUCAGGAGAGUAUCAGCGUUUGGUGUGAAGACGUGUGUUCAGGCUGCUGUGGAUUCAGAUGCUCAUCUGGACGUCAUGUGUUACUGCAAAGUCUCUUUUUGAUACUCAGAUUUUAUUUAUUACCUCUUUACGUUUGUAAUAAAAAUGCUUUGUCUA